UUUCUCAGGCUUUUCCUAGACAUUUAGAGAUGAUACAGAGGGACAGAGGACAAAGCUUGAUCAGACUUGAUUUGACAGAGGUGAAGACGGUGCAUGCACAACUGGGAUAAGGGCCAAAGUCCCCUGAUAGGGGGGUGUAUGUUCCUUAAGUCCGUUGGAAUGUUGACUGUGCCGUGUAUUUCAAUCGGACAGGAGAGCUUGUGUCAUUGCCUUACAAUGCUGUGAUGCCAAUCGACAUAUGUUCUACUCCAGAAAUGUGCUGAUAUUAUUUAGUUGCAGCCCCCUUAAUCAAAAGGACUCUACUGCUGUAUGCACCAGGGUUGUUGAUAAGUUAUUUUUCUGGUGUCAUUUUGCUGUAUUCUUCUGACAUGGUAUCGACUUGCUUGUUUUGACAAAUAGUUGUUGCUGAAAGGAAGACGAAUUUUCCACAUGAAAAAGCAUGUUCGAAGGGGCGGGCAGCAGACAGAAAAAGGCCAAUAUUGAUACAUCUUUAGAAUGAUCAAGCAGUAUAUCUGUGGAGUUGCCUCUUGAGCCGUGUUCUAUGAUCAUGUCACCCGUAUCAAUUAGCUGCUCACACAUUUUCAUUUGUUCCAUUUCUGUCAACUUGAAAUGGUCCUGCUAUUGCCUUGUCCUUUGAAGAUUGUGAAGCUGGAGUCUCAUUUUAAAGGUUCCGAAGCUUGUGAAGAAGAUUUCAGAAAUAUUUGGGAAUGGUGUCGAAAAGGUUUACAGUCCUAGCCAAAGAGCAACAACGAUCUCAGAAAUGGGAAGGUGAAAAUGUUUAGAUUCUAGGUACGUUGUUUAUUGUUCACAUUAUAUCAAAAAUGUGCAACUUAUUACUAAGACAAAUAAAGUAGCCCUUUUCUGGAAAAGUGGAAAUGAAGCCCGUUAAAACAAGUUAGCAGUUAAAAAG